rnacentral:rRNA from 1 species
AGAGUUUGAUCCUGGCUCAGAUUGAACGCUGGCGGCAUGCCUUACACAUGCAAGUCGAACGGCAGCACGGGGGCAACCCUGGUGGCGAGUGGCGAGCGGGUGAGUAACAUAUCGGAACGUGCCCUGGAGUGGGGGAUAACUAGUCGAAAGAUUAGCUAAUACCGCAUACGAUCUACGGAUGAAAGUGGGGGAUCGCAAGACCUCAUGCUCGUGGAGCGGCCGAUAUCUGAUUAGCUAGUUGGUGGGGUAAAGGCCUACCAAGGCAUCGAUCAGUAGCUGGUCUGAGAGGACGACCAGCCACACUGGGACUGAGACACGGCCCAGUCUCCUACGGGAGGCAGCAGUGGGGAAUUUUGGACAAUGGGCGCAAGCCUGAUCCAGCAAUGCCGCGUGAGUGAAGAAGGCCUUCGGGUUGUAAAGCUCUUUUGUCAGGGAAGAAACGGUGAGGGCUAAUAUCCUUUGCUAAUGACGGUACCUGAAGAAUAAGCACCGGCUAACUACGUGCCAGCAGCCGCGGUAAUACGUAGGGUGCAAGCGUUAAUCGGAAUUACUGGGCGUAAAGCGUGCGCAGGCGGUUGUGCAAGACCGAUGUGAAAUCCCCGGGCUUAACCUGGGAAUGGCAUUGGUGACUGCACGGCUAGAGUGCGUCAGAGGGGGGUAGAAUUCCACGUGUAGCAGUGAAAUGCGUAGAGAUGUGGAGGAAUACCGAUGGCGAAGCAGCCCCCUGGGAUAACACUGACGCUCAUGCACGAAAGCGUGGGGAGCAAACAGGAUUAGAUACCCUGGUAGUCCACGCCCUAAACGAUGUCAACUAGUUGUCGGGUCUUAAUUGACUUGGUAACGCAGCUAACGCGUGAAGUUGACCGCCUGGGGAGUACGGUCGCAAGAUUAAAACUCAGAGGAAUUAACGGGGACCCACACAAGCGGUGGAUGAUGUGGAUUAAUUCGAUGCAACGCGAAAAACCUUACCUACCCUUGACAUGGCAGGAAUCCCGGAGAGAUUCGGGAGUGCUCGAAAGAGAACCUGCACACAGGUGCUGCAUGGCUGUCGUCAGCUCGUGUCGUGAGAUGUUGGGUUAAGUCCCGCAACGAGCGCAACCCUUGUCAUUAGUUGCUACGAAAGGGCACUCUAAUGAGACUGCCGGUGACAAACCGGAGGAAGGUGGGGAUGACGCCAAGUCCUCAUGGCCCUUAUGGGUAGGGCUUCACACGUCAUACAAUGGUACAUACGGAGGGCCGCCAACCCGCGAGGGGGAGCUAAUCCCAGAAAGUGUAUCGUAGUCCGGAUUGCAGUCUGCAACUCGACUGCAUGAAGUUGGAAUCGCUAGUAAUCGCGGAUCAGCAUGUCGCGGUGAAUACGUUCCCGGGUCUUGUACACACCGCCCGUCACACCAUGGAGCGGGUUUUACCAGAAGUAGGUAGCUUAACCGCAAGGAGGGCGCUUACCACGGUAGGAUUCGUGACUGGGGUGAAGUCGUAACAAGGUAACCGUAA